CUGGUUUUGAGGAAGAGAGGGAAAUUGAAUUCUUUCACUGCAUUUGUGUGUUGGAGAGGUUGGGUCUCGGAGUUAUGAAACUUUGAUGCCAAUUCUUGUUUAACAUUGGGUUUUGUUUGUGACCACCCAAGUGCUCUUUCUCACUUCGACUUCUGUUUUUGAAGCACCUAGGUUUAAAGUAUCGGUUCAUCCUUCAAAUCCCUUGCUGCCCAAGCCAAUACUGUGGUCCCCUCCUCUUUGCGGUUAGAGAAAGUGUAAUUCGGAUGGAGCGGCGAGAGAUUCACCUGGCUCAUUGUAAUUCAAUUGCAGCAUUUAAUUUGCCAAAACUUGUUCCAUGGAAGCUACAAACUACAUGGGGAAACUCUAUGCGUCCUACUCAUUGUACGAGGUUCACUGUAUCACACAUCUAUUGUGAAGGGAAUAGUUGCAUUGAUGGAUUGGCCAAUCAUGGUCUCACUAUUCAGGACUUUAGAUGGUGGGAUUUUGUUUGGUGUUUUGUUAGAUGUUCUUUCUAUACAGGUAGGAUCGGUCUCCCUAGUUUUAGAUUCAGUCACUUUUAACUUUGAGGUGUAGCCCUCUUAUGUCUUCAAUCUUUUGUAAUCUGUUUUAUUCUUUUUCAGUAAUACAGUGCAUGUAGUAGAGGAUCAACCUAUUUGGGAACAUAGUUCUUAUUUUGAUGGA